rnacentral:rRNA from 1 species
AAUAUGUGGCAUACGGCUCAGUAACACGUAGUCAACAUGCCCAGGGGAUGUGGAUAACCUCGGGAAACUGAGGAUAAACCGCGAUAGGUCAUUACUUCUGGAAUGGGUAAUGACUUAAACCUAUAUGGCCCCUGGAUUGGACUGCGGCCGAUCAGGCUGUUGGUGAGGUAAUGGCCCACCAAACCUGUAACCGGUACGGGCUCUGAGAGGAGGAGCCCGGAGAUGGGCACUGAGACAAGGGCCCAGGCCCUAUGGGGCGCAGCAGGCGCGAAACCUCUGCAAUAGGCGAAAGCUUGACAGGGUUACUCUGAGUGAUUUCCGUUAAGGAGAUCUUUUGGCACCUCUAAAAAUGGUGCAGAAUAAGGGGUGGGCAAGUCUGGUGUCAGCCGCCGCGGUAAUACCAGCACCCCGAGUGGUCGGGACGUUUAUUGGGCCUAAAGCAUCCGUAGCCGGUUCUACAAGUCUUCCGUUAAAUCCACCUGCUUAACAGAUGGGCUGCGGAAGAUACUAUAGAGCUAGGAGGCGGGAGAGGCAAGCGGUACUCGAUGGGUAGGGGUAAAAUCCGUUGAUCCAUUGAAGACCACCAGUGGCGAAGGCGGCUUGCCAGAACGCGCUCGACGGUGAGGGAUGAAAGCUGGGGGAGCAAACCGGAUUAGAUACCCGGGUAGUCCCAGCUGUAAACGAUGCA